AUUGAACGCUGGCGGCAGGCCUAACACAUGCAAGUCGAGCGAGCGGCGGACGGGUGAGUAAUGUCUGGGAAACUGCAUGAUGGAGGGGGAUAACUACUGGAAACGGUAGCUAAUACCGCAUACCAUAAGAUGUGCCCUGAUGGGAUUAGCUAGUAGGUGGGGUAACGGCUCACCUAGGCGACGAUACCUAGCUGGUCUGAGAGGAUGACCAGCCACACUUGAACUGAGACACGGUCCAGAAUCCUACGGGAGGCAGCAGUGGGGAAUCUUGCACAAGGGGCGCAAGCCUGAUGCAGCCAUGCCGCGUGUGUGAAGAAGGCCUUCGGGUUGUAAAGCACUUUCAGCGGGGAAGCGUUACUCGCAGAAGAAGCACCGGCUAACUCCGUGCCAGCAGCCGCGGUAAUUC
rnacentral:rRNA from 1 species